UACGAAGGGAGCUAGCGUUGUUCGGAAUCAUUGGGCGUAAAGCGCGUGUAGGCGGCCAGAUAAGUCCGCUGUGAAAUCUCGAGGCUCAACUUCGAGCUGUCGGUGGAAACUGUCUGGCUAGAGUCCGGAAGAGGAGAAUGGAAUUCCUGGUGUAGCGGUGAAAUGCGCAGAUAUCAGGAAGAACACCCGUGGCGAAGGCGGUUCUCUGGGACGGUACUGACGCUGAGACGCGAAAGCGUGGGGAGCGAACAGG
rnacentral:rRNA from 1 species